UCUAGUAAAAUGUCAACUCCUUGGGAAAAAGAAAAAAAAAGAUGAGUGCAUGAAGAUGUGUGACUGUUGGGGAAUGUCCUUCUGAGAAGUUAGUAUUUAAGCUGAACUCUAAAUAACAAGAAGAGGAUAACUAGAUGAAGAUUGUGUAAGAGAAUUUUGGAGGCAAAGGAAAAGCUAGGUACAGAAGACCUUGCUGCUGCUGCUAAGUUGCUUCAGUCAUGUCCGACUCUGU